GCCGCCGUGCCCGAGCGGACCAAGGGGUUCGGCUGGAGACCGAAUCCCCGAUAAGGGGGCGGGGGUUCGAAUCCCCCCGGCGGCG
rfam:Nanoarchaeum equitans Kin4-M, complete genome.